rnacentral:rRNA from 1 species
ACGGCUCAGUAACACGUGGACAACCUACCCUUUGGUCUGGCAUAAUCCUGGGAAACUGGGGAUAAUUCCGGAUAGGUCACAGAUGCUGGAAUGCACUGUGGCUCAAAGCUCCGGCGCCAAAGGAUGGGUCUGCGGCCUAUCAGGGUUGUAGUGGGUGUAAUGUACCUACUAGCCUACGACGGGUACGGGUUGUGAGAGCAAGAGCCCGGAGAUGGAUUCUGAGACACGAAUCCAGGCCCUACGGGGUGCAGCAGGCGCGAAAACUUUACAAUGCGGGAAACCGUGAUAAGGGAAUCUCGAGUGCCAGCAUAUAAUGUUGGCUGUCUGGAUGCCUAAAAAGCAUCUGUUAGCAAGGGCCGGGCAAGACCGGUGCCAGCCGCCGCGGUAACACCGGCGGCCCGAGUGGUAACCGCUUUUAUUGGGUCUAAAGGGUCUGUAGCCGGCCAAGUAAGUCCCUUGGGAAAUCUGGCAGCUCAACUGUCAGGCUGCUAGGGGAUACUGUUUGGCUUGGGACCGGGAGAGGUGAGAGGUACCUUGGGGGUAGGGGUGAAAUCUUGUGAUCCUCGAGGGACCACCAGUGGCGAAGGCGUCUCACCAGAACGGGUCCGACGGUAAGGGACGAAAGCUAGGGGCACGAACCGGAUUAGAUACCCGGGUAGUCCUAGCCGUAAACGAUGCUCGCUAGGUGUCAGUCACGGUGCGACCGUGAUUGGUGCCGUAGGGAAGCCGUGAAGCGAGCCACCUGGGAAGUAUGGCCGCAAGGCUGAAACUUAAAGGAAUUGGCGGGGGAACAC